AGAAACCAACCGGGAUUGCCCUAGUAACGGCGAGUGAAGCGGCAAGAGCUCAAAUUUGAAAGCUGGCUCCUUCGGGGUCCGCAUUGUAAUUUGCAGAGGAUGCUUCGGGAACGGCCCCCAUCUAAGUGCCCUGGAACGGGCCGUCAUAGAGGGUGAGAAUCCCGUCUGGGAUGGGGUGUCCGCGCCCGUGUGAAGCUCCUUCGACGAGUCGAGUUGUUUGGGAAUGCAGCUCUAAUUGGGUGGUAAAUUUCAUCUAAAGCUAAAUAUUGGCCGGAGACCGAUAGCGCACAAGUAGAGUGAUCGAAAGAUGAAAAGCACUUUGAAAAGAGAGUUAAACAGCACGUGAAAUUGUUGAAAGGGAAGCGCUUGCGACCAGACUCGCCCGCGGGGUUCAGCCGGCAUUCGUGCCGGUGUACUUCCCCGCGGGCGGGCCAGCGUCGGUUUGGGCGGCCGGUCAAAGGCCCCUGGAAUGUAACGCCUCUCGGGGCGUCUUAUAGCCAGGGGUGCCAUGCGGCCUGCCCGGACCGAGGAACGCGCUUCGGCUCGGACGCUGGCAUAAUGGUCGUAAGCGACCCGUCUUG
rnacentral:rRNA from 1 species